rnacentral:rRNA from 1 species
GACGAACGCUGGCGGCGCGCUUCACACAUGCAAGUCGAACGAGAAGCCCGGGCUUGCCCGGGUGGACAGUGGCGAACGGGUGAGUAACACGUGAGCAACCUGCCCCGAAGACCGGGAUAACACCGGGAAACCGGUGCUAAUACCGGAUGUCCUCGCCGGACCGCAUGAUCCGGCGAGGAAAUGGUCAGCCGCUUCGGGAUGGGCUCGCGGCCUAUCAGCUUGUUGGUGGGGUCACGGCCCACCAGGGCGACGACGGGUAGCUGAUCUGAGAGGAUGUCCAGCCACACUGGGACUGAGACACGGCCCAGACUCCUACGGGAGGCAGCAGUGGGGAAUCUUGCGCAAUGGGCGAAAGCCUGACGCAGCGACGCCGCGUGCGGGAUGAAGGCCUUCGGGUUGUAAACCGCUUUCAGCAGGGACGAAAUUGACGGUACCUGUAGAAGAAGCCCCGGCCAACUACGUGCCAGCAGCCGCCGUAAAAC